UACGAAGGGGGCUAGCGUUGCUCGGAAUCACUGGGCGUAAAGCGCACGUAGGCGGAUUUCUAAGUCAGGGGUGAAAUCCUGGAGCUCAACUCCAGAACUGCCUUUGAUACUGGGAAUCUUCGAGUCCGGGAGAGGUGAGUGGAACUGCGAGUGUAGAGGUGAAAUUCGUAGAUAUUCGCAAGAACACCAGUGGCGAAGGCGGCUCACUGGACCGGUAUUGACGCUGAGGUGCGAAAGCGUGGGGAGCAAACAGG
rnacentral:rRNA from 1 species